UACGAAGGGGGCUAGCGUUGCUCGGAAUCACUGGGCGUAAAGGGCGCGUAGGCGGCCAUUCAAGUCAGAGGUGAAAGCCCAAGGCUCAACCUUGGAAUUGCCCUUGAUACUGUUUGGCUUGAGACCGGAAGAGGUUAGUGGAACUGCGAGUGUAGAGGUGAAAUUCGUAGAUAUUCGCAAGAACACCAGUGGCGAAGGCGGCUCACUGGCCCGGUACUGACGCUGAGGUGCGAAAGCGUGGGGAGCAAACAGGG
rnacentral:rRNA from 1 species